rnacentral:rRNA from 1 species
AGCGUAGACGGUGUGGCAAGUCUGAUGUGAAAGGCGUGGGCUCAACCUGUGGACUGCAUUGGAAACUGUCAUACUUGAGUGCCGGAGGGGUAAGCGGAAUUCCUAGUGUAGCGGUGAAAUGCGUAGAUAUUAGGAGGAACACCAGUGGCGAAGGCGGCUUACUGGACGGUAACUGACGUUGAGCUCGAAAGCGUGGGGAGCAAACA